UUUAUGGAGAGUUUGAUCCUGGCUCAGGAUGAACGCUGGCGGCGUGCCUAAUACAUGCAAGUCGAGCGAACGGACGAGAAGCUUGCUUCUCUGAUGUUAGCGGCGGACGGGUGAGUAACACGUGGAUAACCUACCUAUAAGACUGGGAUAACUUCGGGAAACCGGAGCUAAUACCGGAUAAUAUUUUGAACCGCAUGGUUCAAAAGUGAAAGACGGUCUUGCUGUCACUUAUAGAUGGAUCCGC
rnacentral:rRNA from 1 species